rnacentral:rRNA from 1 species
UUCCGUAACGCUGGCGGCAGGCUUAACACAUGCAAGUCGAGCGGGCGGUAGCAAUACGUCACGCGGCAGACGGGUGAGUAACGCGUGGGAACAUACCUUUUGGUUCGGAACAACACAGGGAAACUUGUGCUAAUACCGGAUAAGCCCUUACGGGGAAAGAUUUAUCGCCGAAAGAUUGGCCCGCGUCUGAUUAGCUAGUUGGUGAGGUAACGGCUCACCAAGGCGACGAUCAGUAGCUGGUCUGAGAKGAUGAUCAGCCACAUUGGGACUGAGACACGGCCCAAACUCCUACGGGAGGGCAGCAGUGGGGAAUAUUGGACAAUGGGCGCUAGCCUGAUCCAGCCAUGCCGCGUGAGUGAUGAAGGCCCUAGGGUUGUAAAGCUCUUUUGUGCGGGAAGAUAAAGAAAGGUACCGCAAGAAUAAGCCCCGGCUAACUUCGUGCCAGCAGCCGCGGUAAUACGAAGGGGGCUAGCGUUGCUCGGAAUCACUGGGCGUAAAGGGUGCCGUAAGGCGGGUCUUUAAGUCAGAGGUGAAAUCCUGGAGCUCAACCUCCAGAACUGCCUUUGAUACUGAGGAUCUUGAGUUAUGGGAGAGGUGAGUGGAACUGCGAGUGUAGAGGUGAAAUUCGUAGAUAUUCGCAAGAACACCAGUGGCGAAGGCGGCUCACUGGCCCAUUACUUGACGCUGAGGCACGAAAGCGUGUGGGAGCAAACAAUAUUAGAUACCCUGGUAGUCCACAGCCGUAAACCAUGAAUUGCCAGCCGUUAGUGGGUUUAUCUCACUAGUGGCGCAGUCUAACGCGUCAAGCAUUCCGCAUAGGGAGUACGGUCGCAAGAUUAAAACUCAAAGGAAUUGACGGGGGCCCGCACAAGCGGUGGAGCAUGUGGUUUAAUUCGACGCAACGCGCAGAACCUUACCAGCCCUUGACAUCCCGGUCGCGGACUCCAGAGAUGGAGUCCUUCAGUUCGGCUGGACCGGAGACAGGUGCUGCAUGGCUGUCGUCAGCUCGUGUCGUGAGAUGUUGGGUUAAGUCCCGCAACGAGCGCAACCCCCGUCCUUAGUUGCUACCAUUUAGUUGAGCACUCUAAGGAGACUGCCGG